ACCCUUCUUCACUGCAAAUUUGAAACCCUAACUUUCUGGAAGGUAUCAUUUUCCUUUUGAUUGCAAACACUACUCAUUCAUAUUGUAGUAAAAGCUAAACGGCGCUGGUUAAGUAUGGAGGAGCCUCUUGACGAGGCGGAGAACACACCAUUCAAGCUUCAACUAGGAGGUGAGGUGUCUAUCAAGGAACUGUUGAGGCCCAGUGAUACGUUUGUGGAGCAACAUUGGGGCAUGGGUGGAAUUGGAAAUAAAAGUAGUGAAAACUAUGAGGGGUGGGCUGUUGAUAUAAAUGAAUAUGCUUGUGAAAGUUUGAAGCUAAAUCACCCUGAAACACAGGUGAGAAAUGAGUCUGCACAAAACUUUUUAAGUCUAAUAAAAGAGUGGGCAAAACUUUGCGAGGAGUUUGUAUUUAAACCGCCAGAAAGUGCAGAAUCUGAUGAAGAAGCUGAUGAUGAAGAGUCAGAAAAUCAGUCUGUCUUUGAGGAGUUUUAGGUGGAAAGGUUUAUUUCUGUUUGCUAUGGCGAUCCCAAUGAAGCAAAGACACCAGGACUGUACUUUAAAGUGCAAUGGAAGAGCUAUGGUUCUAGUUAUGAUACAUGGGAGCCAAUAGAGGGAGUAAGAGGUAGGCUGUUGAUAUAAAUGAAUAUGCUUGUGAAAGUUUGAAGCUAAAUCACCGUGAAACACAUGUGAGAAAUGAGACUGCAGAAAACUUUUUAAGUCUAAUAAAAGAGUGUGCAAAGCUUUGCGAGGAGUUUGUAUUUAAACCGCCAGAAAGUGAAAAAUCUGAUGAAGAAGCUGAUGAUGAAGAGCCAGAAAAUCAGUCCGACUCUGAGGAGUUUGAGGGUUGUGAUUAGCUGCAUUUUUACAUUUAUGCCUUAUUGUAAUGAGUCAAACAAGUAUAUAGAAAUUAUAAUUUGUACAUUUUUUUAAAAGAUGACACAUUAACAAUGGUGGCUUUUAUGAGGGAAAUAGAUUUUACUUCACAGUUGAA